rnacentral:sRNA from 2 species
UUUUAGCCCUGAUCGAAACGGCAUCCUUUUUUGUUAUUGCGAUAUCGAUCUCUUUCAACAGAUCACUUCACUUUGUUCGCAAUGACAAAAAAGAUAUAGUGUAGAGCAGGACGAGUC